GGGCGUGUGGCUCAGUUGGUAGAGCGUUCGCUUAGCAAGUCUUCUCUUGCGAAAGGUCCUGGGUUCGAUUCCCAGCCCGUCCA